AAAUUGAAGAGUUUGAUCAUGGCUCAGAUUGAACGCUGGCGGCAGGCCUAACACAUGCAAGUCGAACGGUAACAGGAAACAGCUUGCUGAUUUGCUGACGAGUGGCGGACGGGUGAGUAAUGUCUGGGAAACUGCCUGAUGGAGGGGGAUAACUACUGGAAACGGUAGCUAAUACCGCAUAAUGUCGCAAGACCAAAGAGGGGGACCUUCGGGCCUCUUGCCAUCGGAUGUGCCCAGAUGGGAUUAGCUAGUAGGUGGGGUAACGGCUCACCUAGGCGACGAUCCCUAGCUGGUCUGAGAGGAUGACCAGCCACACUGGAACUGAGACACGGUCCAGACUCCUACGGGAGGCAGCAGUGGGGAAUAUUGCACAAUGGGCGCAAGCCUGAUGCAGCCAUGCCGCGUGUAUGAAGAAGGCCUUCGGGUUGUAAAGUACUUUCAGCGGGGAGGAAGGGAGUAAAGUUAAUACCUUU
rnacentral:rRNA from 1 species